GGAAUCCGGGCGGCCGCGGGCAGUGCCGAGCGCCCGGCUCCGCCCCGCUGCCGCCGUCCAAUCGCCCGCGGCUGAGGGCUGGAUCUGAGACGCGCUGGCGGCGGGGAAGUUGGCUGCGGUGGGGUUCCUGGGCUGCGGGCUGGUGCUGUCGGGGUAGCUGCCCCGCGACCCGGGCGCCUCGGGAGGGAAGUGGCGGCCCCGGAAGGCCCCUGCCUUAGAGAGGUCUGGGGCCGUCCAGAGCCCCAAGAGCCGCAGCGUGUCGGCGCGCUAUGAAGCGAGAAGCCCAGCCGCAGCGCGGACCGACUCCGGAUUGACAACGCCCACACCUGGUGUCCGCGGGAGGCGCCGAACUUGGCGUCCCCAAAGGAGCCCCAGCGAGGAAACCGAGACCCAAAGAGGGAUGAAGAAGUUUGUGGAAUGGCUUGGGAAUGAGAAGACUGAGUUGAGGCCAUGGAAGCUGUGCUGGUCCUUUUGUGGAUGUCAUUGGUUUAUUCUUCAUAGCACACCUGGGGAGUAUAUCCAUGCUGUUAUCCUCUGUUCACAGCUGAGGCAACUGAGACUGAAGGCAAAGUGUUUUGUCCAAGCGCACAACAGGGGCAGGAGGAAAAAUCCACAAUGCAUACAUCUGGGGACUUUCCAUAUUGAUGGAAGAAAGUGUUCAGGAUACCUAAGUGAAUCCCAUUGAAGGCAUGU